CCAGGAUGGUCGCAUGAGACAUCAUAAGAUGAUGUUUCGAUUACCUUUUUUUUUUUCUUUGGUGUUGUUGCAG